UUAGAAGCACUGAAGAAUGAAAUCUUCUAUCCACCGAAUAAAUUCAGUACAGGUAGCAGUAGUGCAGGCUUACUACACUGCCCUGCCAAUGUGCACCAAACCUAUCCAGAAAAAACACCCCAAAAAAGCCCCACUUCUUGACAUGCAAGAGUACUUUACCUCUUAUGAGGCCAACAACGUGACAAUG
rnacentral:sRNA from 1 species